rnacentral:rRNA from 1 species
ACGCUCGACACCUACGGGAGGUAGCAGUGGGGGAUAUUGCACAAUGGGGGAAACCCUGAUGCAGCAACGCCGCGUGAGGGAAGAAGGUUUUCGGAUUGUAAACCUCUGUCCUUGGUGACGAUAAUGACGGUAGCCAAGGAGGAAGCUCCGGCUAACUACGUGCCGGCAGCCGCGGUAAUCUGAGCGGGCUGGCAAGGC